rnacentral:rRNA from 1 species
AGCGAACGCUGGCGGUAGGCCUAACACAUGCAAGUCGAACGAAGUCUUCGGACUUAGUGGCGGACGGGUGAGUAACACGUGGGAACGUACCUUUUGGUUCGGAACAACUCAGGGAAACUUGAGCUAAUACCGGAUGAGCCCUUAGGGGGAAAGAUUUAUCGCCGAAAGAGCGGCCCGCGUUAGAUUAGCUAGUUGGUGAGGUAAAGGCUCACCAAGGCUACGAUCUAUAGCUGGUCUGAGAGGAUGAUCAGCCACACUGGGACUGAGACACGGCCCAGACUCCUACGGGAGGCAGCAGUGGGGAAUCUUGCGCAAUGGGCGAAAGCCUGACGCAGCCAUGCCGCGUGAAUGAUGAAGGUCUUAGGAUUGUAAAAUUCUUUUACCAGGGACGAUAAUGAUGGUACCCGGAGAAAAAGCCCCGGCUAAUUUCGUGCCAGCCGCCGCCGUAACAC